rnacentral:rRNA from 1 species
GAUGAACGCUGGCGGCGUGCCUAAUACAUGCAAGUCGAGCGAACAGACGAGGAUCUUGCUCCUCUGACGUUAGCGGCGGACGGGUGAGUAACACGUGGAUAACCUACCUAUAAGACUGGGAUAACUUCGGGAAACCGGAGCUAAUACCGGAUAAUAUAUUGAACCGCAUGGUUCAAUAGUGAAAGACGGUUUUGCUGUCACUUAUACAUGGAUCCGCGCCGCAUUAGCUAGUUGGUAGGGUAACGGCUUACCAAGGCAACGAUGCGUAGCCGACCUGAGAGGGGGAUGGGGCACACUGGAACUGAGACACGGUCCAGACUCCUACGGGAGGCAGAAGUAGGGAAUCUUGCGAGAUGGGCGAAAGCUUGAAGGAGCAACGCCGCGUGAGUGAUGAAGGUCUUCGGAUCGUAAAACUCUGUUAUUAGGGAAGAACAAAUGUGUAAGUAACUAUGCACGUCUUGACGGUACCUAAUGAGAAAGCAACGGCUAACUACGUG